AGUCGAGCGGUAAGGCCCUUCGGGGUACACGAGCGGCGAACGGGUGAGUAACACGUGAGCAACCUACCCUCAACUUCGGGAUAAGCCUCGGAAACGGGGUCUAAUACCGGAUAUCACUCCUGGUUUCAUGAUCGGGGGUUGAAAGUUCUGGCGGUUGGGGAUGGGCUCGCGGCCUAUCAGCUUGUUGGUGGGGUAAUGGCCUACCAAGGCGUCGACGGGUAGCCGGCCUGAGAGGGCGACCGGCCACACUGGGACUGAGACACGGCCCAGACUCCUACGGGAGGCAGCAGUGGGGAAUAUUGCGCAAUGGGCGAAAGCCUGACGCAGCAACGCCGCGUGAGGGAUGACGGCCUUCGGGUUGUAAACCUCUUUCAGCAGGGACGAAGCGAGAGUGACGGUACCUGCAGAAGAAGGACCGGCCAACUACGUGCCAGCAGCCGCGGUAAUACGUAGGGUCCGAGCGUUGUCCGGAAUUAUUGGGCGUAAAGGGCUCGUAGGCGGUUCGUCACGUCGGGAGUGAAAACUCGGAGCUUAACUCCGAGCCUGCUUCCGAUACGGGCAGACUAGAGGUAGGCAGGGGAGAGCGGAACUCCUGGUGUAGCGGUGGAAUGCGCAGAUAUCAGGAAGAACACCGGUGGCGAAGGCGGCUCUCUGGGCCUUACCUGACGCUGAGGAGCGAAAGCGUGGGUAGCGAACAGGAUUAGAUACCCUGGUAGUCCACGCCGUAAACGUUGGGCGCUAGGUGUGGGGGACAUUCCACGUCCUCCGUGCCGCAG
rnacentral:rRNA from 1 species